ACUCUCUGGAGGACGCAAAUUGGUUGCUCUGGAGAUGGCGGCGAUUGGUUGAAGGACGCCUUGGGGCGGUCCCUCCAAAAGAAAGGUGUCGUCCCCCCCGAACUUGCCUAGGGCGAGACCUCGAGUGGAGGGGGUGAAGCCACAGCCACAGAAGCCCCACCCCAUCUGUCUGCCUGGAUGCGGGUGAGGGGGAAGCAAACCGGCUCCUCCUUGGGGGAACCUUAACAAGACUCGGCAACGCGCAGGCGCCUUAUGGCGCUUUGAAGGAAGGCGGCCGCCGAUUGGUUGCUCUUGGGAAGGCGGCGAUUGGCAGGACCACCUUUGGAACCAGCUGAGUUUCUGGCAAAAAGGGCGCGAAACCUCCACUUCCGGAAACUAAACGGAGAACGGGGAAACUGCCAGAAUCCGCGACAGAAGAGACCGGAUGAUGCAGAAGGACGGAGGAGGAAGGAAGCGCCGCCCAAUAGCAGGAGGUGCUGUGGCUGAAUCUACAGCUGAUUUGGCCUUCAUUGUGCCAGAUGUGAAAGAGCUUCUCCCUGUUUGAUACAAUUUACAUGGGUUUUGCAAAUGUCAGUAGAGACUCUCCCCAGAUAUCUGAAACUCCUGUCAGUUGGAUUUCCUGGAUGGUCCCCUUGUCUUCCAGCAGAAACCGCUGCAAGGGACAGUUGUCAGGAUAGUUAAAAGUCCCCCAUUUCUAUGCUUUCUUUUGACUUUUCUCUUGCAAAGCCCAUAAGGACUCCUGGCAGGGGGGGGGGUCCAUCCUUGAAGCAGGAGGGAGGGGGAGCAGCCUGGAGAGUAGCCCUCCAUGCCAUCCUUGCAGCCAGCAGGAGGAGGGAAGCCAAGGGAGACAUCUUUGCCUCAGGCCAUCCACUGGGAAGGAGGGGAACUGGGUCAUCGCCUGAAAGGACCUCAAAGGGGACUCGGUAAGAGUCCCCUUUGAGGUCCACAACAGCUUCCCACUCCUGACUUUGCACAUCCUGAGCCCCAACUGGGUUCACAGGCUGACUGCAAGGAAAGUUAACCUGACACCAGCCAGCCGGCCAUGCAAAUGCAGUCGUGAGGACUUCCCUUCCGGGGGUGGGGGUGGGUAUCACAUCUUGGGGAGGGGGGAAAUUGGCUUGGGAGUCAUCAUGAUUGUGCUAUAAAGGGGUCUUAAUGUCUGUAUUUUCCAACAUUUUAAGAAUGCUUUGGACUAGGAUUGAUUUAGGAUGCCAUAUUAUAUGCAAGGAUGCCACCUUAUUUUUUGGCAUACUUUUUGGAUUUUUGUCAUAAAAUAAGAACUAUAGUAUUAUUACUUUACAAGUAUUUAUUUAGAUUUGUUUGCCUCAAGGUGAAUGAUUAAUUUCUAAACUUUGAGGUUUAUGUUUUUUCAUUGACCAAACCCCAAUGGACUGUCCAUGAUUGCAAUAAAGGUUUGAUAAGAUAUCCUUUAUUGUCCAGUUUUCCUGUGAACAUACUGGUACCCAUUAAAAAAUGGAAUUCUGAUACCCACACCAUAGCCUAUUUGGAAUACAUAAUGGAAAAAAGAGAUUUGGGAGUUCACGGGGUUGAUACUUGUUCAUAUGGAAGAAAAGUGACAAUCUAAUAUGCUGCUUCGGAUACCGGAGUCUCUUUUCUCUUCCCAGGAGGUAACACAGCGGUUGUGGAGAGGAUGUGUCGUGUGCCAGAUAAUCCUGCAGAACUUGCUCAUAUCUAGUUAGUACUAUCUGUACAGUUGGGGGCAAUAUAUCCAACUGUCAUGAAAAAUAACUGCAAAAUACAUCCCAGAGACAGUAAGCAUUGUUGGGUCUGCCAGCCCUUCACCCCUCCAGCUGCCUUACCAGCCCCUCCCUCCCUGUAUCCACCUUUUCCUUUCUCAUCCUUCCUUUCUGCCUUCUUAAAAAAAAAAACCCAGCAGAGGGGGAAAUCCCCUUCAAUACUGCCCUCUUUUUAUUUGGAAGGGACUCGGGUCACCUGGAGUCACUGGGAGUUAGGCUGCUCCCCAAAUUUAAUAAAAAGUCACACCUAAAUAAAUGGGCAAGUCUCCCAAACUUCCCUGAGGAUCCUGGCUUCUCUUUCAGGUACGCAGGACACAAUCUCAAAAAACUCCUCAUCCUGGAGUCUUGAUAGUGAAGUGAUCUGGGUGCUACAACCAUAAAGAUAUAAAGAGUUGUUUUUUCUCCUUUGCUAUAUGUAGCGAUGAGCAUCCUGCACUGGAUACGUUGGUUCCUAGGGAUAACUUUGCACAUCAGCUCACAGAUGUCCUAUUCAGCCCAGCCCCCCCUCAAGAAAAUUCUAGAACCAUAGAAGGGAAAAGGCCUAGAACAGAGAAGGAGAAGGCUGAGGCAAAGUCUAAGAAAGCAAGUUAAUUCACAGCAAGUUAAACGGAAUAUGUGAUCCUGUUGCUUCACAUCUUAGGCUUUAUCAUAAAUUUAAAAUGACAUAUUAGCCCUUUUAAUGUGACAUUCUUAACCUUUAAAAAACCUCUUUUUAAAGUUUAAGAUGCAUGUUUUCCCCUUCUUUACUAAGGCUUUUUAUUUGGUAUGUGAGAACAAAAGUAUUCUGAAAGUGUUUGAAUACAACUGCAACUUUCAAGAAAUACAAACCCUGGUAUAAAAGACUAAUGAAACACAUAAAUUUGUCAUUUAUGGAAUGUUAUCUAGAACCAAUGUCUUCUGUUGUUUAAACUUCACAAGCAUUCAGUGUAUUUUAUUGUUUCAUCAUUUGUUUCCUGACAGUGAAUAUGUGUCAUUUGUUUCUGUACACUCUUUAAAAACAUUAGUUUUGCUUCGCUUGAAUUACUUGAUGGUCUGUAUUUGCAGAGGUAAAAGUCUCAAAUUCAAGAAAUCAAGUUCUUUUCAAUUCCACACCACACUUGGGGCCUGAGUUUGGAGAUUAGACAUGAUUUAAGAUGAUCGACAAAUAAAUAAAAGUAAUAGAAAAAGAGCAGAGUUCUCAUUUUCUCCCUGGUAACCAACUUACCUCUUGGAAGGCAUCUUCAACAGUGCUGGGUUUGUACCGGUUUUGCUACCAGUUCGUUCGUGUGCUCUCUCGUGUGCGUGAUGUCUGCACUACCGGUUCAGCCGAACUGGGAGCAACCCACCUCUGAUAUUUACUCUGAUAACGGGCAGUUUAGCCUGCAUGAAUGAUGUCAUAAAGGCAUCAGAAUUCCAAAGGAGACGAUAGGCGGCCUAUCAAACCUCACCCGUUCUACCUUUUUUUAGCAGUUUUUUUUAAUUUUUCCCUUCUACAACACCUUACAGUCAUUACAUCAACAUUGUUAUGUCAUCAUACCUGUACAUGUUUCACGUCUACCUUUUCUACAUACCCCAAUGCUAGGCAAAUAUCUGUAGGAGGUGACCAAACCAAUUAUUAAAGUUGCCCAUUUCUCUCAAAAGGCAGAUUAUUGGGUGUAGACUGCCCCUUUGCAGGGAAGCUUCCCUAAGACUCAUUUAUACAGUCUCAGGUCAACCUCCCAUUGCAUUCCCUUUCUGUUGCCAUGCUGUUUUGUGUUUUGUAACAUCAUCCCAGGUAAGUGGCCUCUAUUUCUGCUUAGGUGAGAAUCCAGUAAUGCAGCCAUCCACGACAGGAAAAAAAAUCCUGUCACCCUUGAACAACUUUCAAAAGAAAAUGCUGCGUAGGUUAAUGAUGCUGAACCCCCCCCCAAGGCACAUGACUUUCUUUUGCCAAGUUCCAAAUAUUGAGGGAUCCAGCAAUUAAAGAGACUCAGAAAAAAAUCCAACUUAGAUCUUAUCAAAAUUGCACAAUUUUAUGCUCCUUUUUCCACACAAUAAUGUGUUGGAAUGAGAGGAAAUUCACCAGCAGGAACCAUUGGAAGGACCUUAAAGAGGCCAAUGAAGAAUUCUCCCCUCCCCACAAUUACUCAGACAUACAUCAUGACUGAAGAUCCUUCCACACACAGGCAAGUUUAUAGUUUUUUCCCCAUGUAAAUCCUUUGAUAUGGAAGGAAGAGCUCUUCACUCAAGGCAUUUACAGGGUUUUUCUCCUCUGUGGAUUCUUUGAUUUGAAUUAAGGGUUUCUUGUGAAGUGAAUUGAAGUGAUUGGAACACAAUACCUCCAAGAUCUCUUCCAUUUAUUAUGGUUGUUAUUCUGUUGCUGUCCAUGUACACCGAGAGCUUCUGCACUGGAGACAUAUUCCUUGCAUGUCUAAUUACACUUGACCAAAUGAAAUAUUUAAUUUGACAUGUAGUUUUAUUACUAUUAUCAUGAUUAUCUCAAAGCUUUUAUAUACAAUGAGUUUAUGCACCGAAGACGGAUUCCUUGUGUAUCCAAUCAGACUUGGCCAAUAAAUAAUUCUAUUCAUUCUACUCUCAAUUACUCAGACAAAACGUUUUUCCAUACUCAGACAAGUUUAUAGUUUUUUCAUGUGAAUCCUUUGAUA